UACGAAGGGGGCUAGCGUUGCUCGGAAUCACUGGGCGUAAAGCGCACGUAGGCGGAUCGUUAAGUCAGGGGUGAAAUCCUGGAGCUCAACUCCAGAACUGCCUUUGAUACUGGCGACCUUGAGUUCGGGAGAGGUGAGUGGAACUGCGAGUGUAGAGGUGAAAUUCGUAGAUAUUGGGAAGAACACCGGUGGCGAAGGCGGCGCUCUGGACCGAGACUGACGCUGAGGCGCGAAAGCGUGGGGAGCAAACAGG
rnacentral:rRNA from 1 species